AGAGUUUGAUCCUGGCUCAGAUUGAACGCUGGCGGCAUGCCUUACACAUGCAAGUCGAACGGUAACAGGUCUUCGGAUGCUGACGAGUGGCGAACGGGUGAGUAAUACAUCGGAACGUGCCCGAGAGUGGGGGAUAACGAAGCGAAAGCUUUGCUAAUACCGCAUACGAUCUCAGGAUGAAAGCAGGGGACCGCAAGGCCUUGCGCUCACGGAGCGGCCGAUGGCAGAUUAGGUAGUUGGUGGGAUAAAAGCUUACCAAGCCGACGAUCUGUAGCUGGUCUGAGAGGACGACCAGCCACACUGGGACUGAGACACGGCCCACACUCCUACGGGAGGCAGCAGUGGGGAAUUUUGGACAAUGGGCGCAAGCCUGAUCCAGCCAUGCCGCGUGCAGGAUGAAGGCCUUCGGGUUGUAAACUGCUUUUGUACGGAACGAAAAGACUCUGGUUAAUACCUGGGGUCCAUGACGGUACCGUAAGAAUAAGCACCGGCUAACUACGUGCCAGCAGCCGCGGCAAUACGUAGGGUGCGAGCGUUAAUCGGAAUUACUGGGCGUAAAGCGUGCGCAGGCGGUUAUAUAAGACAGAUGUGAAAUCCCCCGGGCUCAACCUGGGAACUGCAUUUGUGACUGUAUAGCUAGAGUACGGCAGAAGGGGGGGAUGGUAUUUCCGCGUGUAGCAGUGAAAUGCGUAGAUUAUGCCGGAGGAACCCCGGAUGGGCGAAGGCUAUCCCCGUGGGUCUGUACUGACGCUCAUGCACGAAAGCGGUGGGGGAAGCAAACAGGAUUAGAUACCCCUAAUAGUCCCACGCCCUAAACGAUGUCCAACUGUGGUUUGGUUGGUUCCUUCCACUGGACUCAGUACGAAAGCUAACGCGUUGAAGGUCGACGGCUGGAGAAGUACGGCCGCAAGAUGAACUCGAUGUACGACAGCACCGGACAUCGGUGAAAUGAGUUCUA
rnacentral:rRNA from 1 species